UCCUACGGGAGGCAGCAGUAGGGAAUAUUGGACAAUGGGUGCAAGCCUGAUCCAGCCAUGCCGCGUGCAGGAAGAAGGCCUUCUGGGUUGUAAACUGCUUUUGCCAGGGGAUAAAAAGCCCGUGCGCGGGAAAUUGAAGGUACCUGGUGAAUAAGCCACGGCUAACUACGUGCCAGCAGCCGCGGUAAUACGUAGGUGGCAAGCGUUGUCCGGAUUUAUUGGGUUUAAAGGGUGCGUAGGCGGUCUUGUAAGUCAGUGCUGAAAUAUCCCGGCUUAACCGGGAGGGUGGCAUUGAUACUGCAGGACUUGAGUGAAGUCGAGGUAGGCGGAAUUGACGGUGUAGCGGUGAAAUGCUUAGAUAUCGUCAAGAACACCGAUAGUGUAGACAGCUUACUAGGCUUUAACUGACGCUGAGGCACGAAAGUGUGGGGAUCAAACAGGAUUAGAUACCCUGGUAGUCCACACUGUAAACGUUGAUGACUCGCUGUUGGCGAUACACAGUCAGCGGCUGAGAGAAAUCGUUAAGUCAUCCACCUGGGGAGUACGCCGGCAACGGUGAAACUCAAAGGAAUUGACGGA
rnacentral:rRNA from 3 species